rnacentral:piRNA from 1 species
UGUGAUUUUUAUCUUCAGUUAUUAGGAAGC